rnacentral:rRNA from 1 species
GAUGAACGCUGGCGGCGUGCCUAACACAUGCAAGUCGAGCGAACCCUUCGGGGUGAGCGGCGGACGGGUGAGUUACGCGUGGGUAACCUGCCCUAUACACACGGAUAACGUACCGAAAGGUACGCUAAUACGGGAUAAAGUUGUUGGAUGGCAUCUUCUAACAAUCAAAGCUCCGGCGGUAUAGGAUGGACCCGCGUCUGAUUAGCUAGUUGGUGAGGUAAUGGCACACCAAGGCGACGAUCAGUAGCCGACCUGAGAGGGUGAUCGGCCACACUGGAACUGAGACACGGUCCAGACUCCUACGGGAGGCAGCAGUGGGGAAUAUUGCACAAUGGGCGAAAGCCUGAUGCAGCAACGCCGCGUGAGCGAUGAGGGUCUUCGGAUCGUAAAGCUCUGUCCUCAAGGAAGAUAAUGACGGUACUUGAGGAGGAAGCCCCGGCUAACUACGUGCCAGCAGCCGCAGUAA